CAACCCUCGAACCCCUCCGGGGGGUCGGCGUUGGGGAUCGGCCCUCCCUUAGCGGGGGCCGUCUCCGAAAUACAGUGGCGGUCUCGCCGCAGCCUCUCCUGCGCAGUAGUUUGCACACUCGCAUCGGGAGCGCGGCGCGUCCACAGCCGUUAAACACCCAACUUCUGAAAUG
rnacentral:rRNA from 2 species